GACGAACGCUGGCGGCGUGCUUAACACAUGCAAGUCGAACGGAAAGGCCCUGCUUUUGUGGGGUGCUCGAGUGGCGAACGGGUGAGUAACACGUGAGUAACCUGCCCUUUACUUUGGGAUAACUUCAGGAAACUGGGGCUAAUACCGGAUAGGAGCUCCUGCUGCCUGGUGGGUGUUGGAAAGUUUCGGCGGUUGGGGAUGGACUCGCGGCUUAUCAGCUUGUUGGUGGGGUAGUGGCUUACCAAGGCUUUGACGGGUAGCCGGCCUGAGAGGGUGACCGGCCACAUUGGGACUGAGAUACGGCCCAGACUCCUACGGGAGGCAGCAGUGGGGAAUAUUGCACAAUGGGCGGAAGCCUGAUGCAGCAACGCCGCGUGAGGGAUGACGGACUUCGGGUUGUAAACCGCUUUCGCCUGUGACGAAGCGUGAGUGACGGUAAUGGGUAAAGAAGCACCGGCUAACUACGUG
rnacentral:rRNA from 1 species